rnacentral:rRNA from 1 species
UACAGAGGGGGCAAGCGUUGUUCGGAAUUACUGGGCGUAAAGGGCGCGUAGGCGGCUUCGAUAGUUGGGCGUGAAAUGCCUGGGCUCAACCCAGGAAUUGCGCUCAAUACUGUGAGGCUCGAGUGUGGGAGAGGAUAGUGGAAUUCCCAGUGUAGAGGUGAAAUUCGUAGAUAUUGGGAAGAACACCAGCGGCGAAGGCGGCUAUCUGGACCACAACUGACGCUGAGGCGCGAAAGCGUGGGGAGCAACAGG